rnacentral:rRNA from 4 species
CCGGGUUGCGGACAGUGUCUGGUGGGUAGUUUGACUGGGGCGGUCUCCUCCUAAAGAGUAACGGAGGAGCACGAAGGUUGGCUAAUCCUGGUCGGACAUCAGGAGGUUAGUGCAAUGGCAUAAGCCAGCUUGACUGCGAGCGUGACGGCGCGAGCAGGUGCGAAAGCAGGUCAUAGUGAUCCGGUGGUUCUGAAUGGAAGGGCCAUCGCUCAACGGAUAAAAGGUACUCCGGGGAUAACAGGCUGAUACCGCCCAAGAGUUCAUAUCGACGGCGGUGUUUGGCACCUCGAUGUCGGCUCAUCACAUCCUGGGGCUGAAGUAGGUCCCAAGGGUAUGGCUGUUCGCCAUUUAAAGUGGUACGCGAGCUGGGUUUAGAACGUCGUGAGACAGUUCGGUCCCUAUCUGCCGUGGGCGCUGGAGAACUGAGGGGGGCUGCUCCUAGUACGAGAGGACCGGAGUGGACGCAUCACUGGUGUUCGGGUUGUCAUGCCAAUGGCACUGCCCGGUAGCUAAAUGCGGAAGAGAUAAGUGCUGAAAGCAUCUAAGCACGAAACUUGCCCCGAGAUGAGUUCUCCCUGAGACUUUAGGUCUCCUGAAGGAACGUUGAAGACGACGACGUUGAUAGGCCGGGUGUGUAAGCGCAGCGAUGCGUUGAGCUAACCGGUACUAAUGAACCGUGAGGCUUAACCUUACAACGCCGAAG